CACAGGAAAUUGCGAUAUGUUCG
rnacentral:miRNA from 1 species